rnacentral:tRNA from 1 species
UCCGCCAUGGUGUAAUUGGCAGCACGACAGGUUUUGGUCCUGUUUGUCUAGGUUCGAGUCCUGGUGGCGGAA